UACGGAGGGUGCGAGCGUUAAUCGGAAUUACUGGGCGUAAAGGGCGCGUAGGCGGCUGAUCAAGUCAGGUGUGAAAGCCCACGGCUUAACCGUGUGAAGUGCAUCUGAAACUGGUCGGCUUGAGUAUCGGAGAGGAAAGUGGAAUUCCCAGUGUAGCGGUGAAAUGCGUAGAUAUUGGGAGGAACAUCGGUGGCGAAGGCGGCUCUCUGGACCGGUUCUGACGCUGAGGCGCGAAAGCGUGGGUAGCAAACAGGAUUAGAUACCCGGGUAGU
rnacentral:rRNA from 1 species